CACCGCCCGUCACACCCUGGGAAUUGGUUUCGCCCGAAGCAUUGGACCAAUGAUCACCCAUGACUUCUGUGUACCACUAGUGCCACAAAGGCCUUUGGUGGUCUUAUUGGCGCAUACCACGGUGGGGUCUUCGACUGGGGUGAAGUCGUAACAAGGUAGCCGUAGGGGAACCUGUGGCUG
rnacentral:ncRNA from 1 species